CCUUGAUGAACAGACAACCAAUGUGCUUGCACAAAGGAAGGCCACAGCUCUCCGAGGUCUACCUCUCUAUUUGAGGGAGAAUCCAGGCAACGUCCUGAAGACAUGUCUGACUCGGAGGAAACGUCCGUUGCAGGUGUUCAACUUGGCAUAGUCACCAUUGUUGAAGAUGAUGUUGGGAGAGCUCACUCAAUGCCCAGAACAAUCAACAUUGCCCUUGUCAUCGAGGAAAAGGUUGUUGUGGAGGACAUCUCUGACAUCAGUACAGCCAUUGUACUUCUCUUUGGAUGCAUCUACAACCUCAACCUGGACUACCCCAAAGGGUUGAGGUACACUUUUGAGGCCCUUCAAAAGAUUUUUAUGAACCUUGGCACAGAGUGUUCUGCCCGUGUUCAGGCUCUGAAAAACAACUUGUUAAAGUAGCCCGAUACCAUGACACAUAGACAUGUGUUCAAUGCACAUAUUUGCACACAUUGACAUGUCACUUUAUUCCUCAAAAUAUGUUUUUAAGUUCAGUAGUAGCUACACAAAUCCCAUGUUCCCAUUUGAAGUUAGUGUUUACUAACUGCUGGAUUUGUUUGUCUCUGAAACUAAACACGUUUGUGUCUUGUUACACGUUUUUAUGGAUGCACUUUCUAUAGACAUGUCACUUUAUUCCUCAAAAUAUGUUUUCAAGUUCAGUAGUAGCUACACAAGUUUGUGUAGUGUUGCUACGAAUCCCAUGUUCCCAUUGGAAGUUAGUGUUUACUAAGUGCUGGAUUUGGUUAUCUCUGCAACUGAACACGUUUGUGUCUUGUUACAUGUUUUUUAUGGAUGCACUUUCUUCACUGCUGGGUUUGGCCAGUGGUUUCCUCAAGUAUCUGACUAACACAUGUUUUGUGAUUCAUAGUGUCAAUCAUACUGUUUUCUAUAUUAUAGCUAAAGUAUUGAGAGCUGGUUCUGCACUUUGUUAUGUGUUUACAUAUUCUAUCUUUGAAAAUAAUUGUAUAAUGUUACCAAGUUCACUUAAGCAUCCCUGCUGCUGCAAUUUCAAUGUUGCCUUUUUUGUAGUUAUUGGAUUUAUAUAAUGUU